AAAAGUUGAAUUUCAUCUAAUAAAUGUGAAUUGUAGUCAAAAUUCUGAUGAUCACUCUUCCUUAAAGGUCUGGCUCAAGGACUACCAUCAGAACUCUAUCAAAGCCACCAGCAUUGCCAAGCCCAAGCCGCCAACCAGAAUGUAGAAGACGCCUGCUACAUUGCUCAGGCUCAAGGCACUCGUCUUGUCCUAGGGGGGAUAAAGACACUUCAGUUAACUGUGGAAAUGUCACAUCCAAAAGAAAUAUAAUGGAGGUUCUUCAAACUAAAGUGGAAUGCUUGGCACUAUGGUGACAAAAGACUGAACCUCUGAGUGAAGCCUCUUGGCUGAGGACUGCUAUGGUCAGAACUUCACAGCACUGAGAGUGGCUGUCAGGUACUGGCACAUGGCCCCAUUCAAACACAAGUUUAAUAAUUUGCUGCUGAAUGGAAGGCUGGAGAGGUUACAGUCCUGUGAAUGACAAGUGAGUCAGCUCUCUCACAGAAACCUUUCCAUGUGUGGUACAGGUUUCCAUAUUUCCCUUCUUCAUUAGAUGAGUCACUGUUGGGAUAGUUAGUUUUCUCCUACCAAGAUUCUGUAUUUGAAGGUCAGCUAAGCCAGGAUUUCAGCAUGUGUGUGCUGAGUUCUCUCUGUAUUUUCCCUUCUGCACUGAAUUGGCAGCAUUGGUCUUUUCUGCUUUAGUUUUACACACAAAGGCUUUAGAGUCAGUUGCAUUUCUCACUUCAGGACUUUUUCUCCUUAUUUUACAUCUUUUGAUGAAGAUCAGGCCAAAUGGGAGGGGUAAGGUAAGUUUACAAAGAAAAUCAGUCACCUGAAAAAGGUACAAAAUGAAAAUGAAAAAGCAACAACUGUCUCCUAGUAAUUUAUUUCGAUUUAAGUUAGGUCAGGCCAUUUAAAAUAUCAUCUUGUAUGACAAAUGCAGAGUAGGGUAUUAUUAACAUUUAGAGUGCAACAAUCUAUUCUCUUGAUAAACCUUAGACCAAUAACAACCUACGUGGAUUUUUUUUUUUUUUUGGUAUACAAACACAUUCCUGGAGGAAAAAAUAAAACAUAAUGUAUUUCAUUUUGGGAGAACAUUUUAUGUUAAUUUUUUAUAACAUUUUGGAAACCUACUUGUUAAAAUUUGAAAUAGCGUUCAUUCUAAAACAUUUUGUAGUUCAUGUUUGGUGAAAGUAAUGUCACUGCAUAACUAUAAGAAGAAGCAAUUCGGCUUUGGAAACUACAGGGUUAGAGAGAAAUUUAUUCUUUUGGACAACAAAUAUUUAUGUCCAACAAAUAAAAAUGUCCAUUAUGUACCAAACAAUGAGUUGGAUACAAGCUAAUUAAAUCUGACUGAGUUGUCCAGUUCAUUUCAAUAAAUUAGAAUGACUUUUGUUACAUAGAUUUUUCUAACAUAUAUAUGUUUCUGUUAUGCUUGCUUAUUUUUCUCCAGAAAACAUCUUUAAUGCACGCUAAAAUGGGACUUCAUUAUUUAUAUU
rnacentral:lncRNA from 10 species